rnacentral:rRNA from 1 species
GAUGAACGCUGGCGGCGUGCUUAACACAUGCAAGUCGAACGGAAAGGCCCAAGCUUGCUUGGGUACUCGAGUGGCGAACGGGUGAGUAACACGUGGGUGAUCUGCCCUGCACUUCGGGAUAAGCCUGGGAAACUGGGUCUAAUACCGGAUAGGACCACAUUUUGGAUGGUGUGGUGGAAAGUUUCUCGGUGUGGGAUGAGCUCGCGGCCUAUCAGCUUGUUGGUGGGGUAAUGGCCUACCAAGGCGUCGACGGGUAGCCGGCCUGGGAGGGUGUACGGCCACAUUGGGACUGAGAUACGGCCCAGACUCCUACGGGAGGCAGCAGUGGGGAAGAUUGCACAAUGGGCGCAAGCCUGAUGCAGCGACGCCGCGGGGGGGAGGACGGCCUUCGGGUUGGAAACUCCUUUCGCUAGGGACGAAGCGUUAUGUGACGGUACCUGGAGAAGAAGCACCGGCUAACUACGUG